rnacentral:lncRNA from 1 species
AGAAAUAGGGUGUAAAGAGAAAUGGUGUUGUGCCCAUCUGAAAACUCGUGUUGGUCUUUCCCUAAUGUCAUAAUCAGGUUGGGGGUAUGACACAGAAUACAGGGUGCACACAGAGCAAUUAUAUGGGCCAAGAGUGCCCCAAGUCCAAUUUUCCUUGCGUAAAUUGAGGGGGGGUGUUAAGUGAACUUGGGUGCAGAAAGAAACCUACAUGGGCCAAGGGCCAUGAGGCCCACGCUAAAAACACAUGAGAGGGGGAUGCGCUCAGAUCCAAACACACUACACGUUCAGAUGAACUUCAUCUCCUUUCACCUUGGCCGAAAAAUAUAAUCUCCGCCACGCUGGAAAUCGCCUCCGGGGACGGAGGGCCAAACCCUUCGAAUCUUAUACCAACUUCUUCGUCUCAUCACCCUCUACCCUAAUCCAGUAUUGACUUCUUUUGAUUCAUACCAUAACAACCAAACCGAACCAAAAAUAUUCAAGAACUCUAACUCCUAAUUCAAAAAUUAAAUACCACUGAGGCACUAUUUGGAGCUCAAACCAUAUGGGUUUGACUCCCUACGCAAUGAGAUACAUUGUUGUAACCUUGAUUCAAUGAAAACGAGUGGAAGACGAGAACCCUACCUUCGAGGAUGAACUUUCCCUCUACACAGUUGGAGUUCAUGGAGAAUGAAGAUGAAGACGAUAAAACUCUCUUAGGUAAAUGCUGAAACUUUUCUUCUCCCCUUCAAUUUAUCAUUCUCCUUCUUCUUUGAUUGAUUCUGCUUUAUGUUAUUGAGAUUGAUAAGAGUGAUAGAGAAUUAUGAUUAUGUGUUUGUGGUGAGUGAAUGACAAGUGAUUGGAUUCUGAGUGUCAGUAAGUAAUAAUACCUCUUUUUUCAAUUCCGAGGGUGAGGUUGGAUUUAUAGAGGAUUAAUGAUUUAACAGAGUUAAACUCUGUUAAUUGGCUCAAUGAAAAUUCGGUUAUAGGUGAACUUCUGUUAGUUAUGGAAGUUUGUGAGAGUUAGUUAGUUAGGUGAUUAGGUUAAAAGUUAGAGUUAAUAAAAUUAAUGUUAGUACUAUUAGUUAGUUAGGGUUUAUAAUUAGUUUUCUAUUAAGUUUGCAGUUAGUUCAGUUAGGAUGAAGUUAGUUUAAUGAACUCACUUAGUCUGAAUUUGAAUAUUAGUUACAAGUUAGUAAACAAUUAAUUUGUUAAUGAAGCAAUCAAUUAUGUAAACUAUUAGUGAAGUUUAGUUUUUUGGUGAUUGCAAUUAGUGUUAGAACUUGAAUGAAGUUGCGAGUAGUGAAUGAAAUUUUGUGAGCUUGUUAAACUUAUCUUGAAAUGACAUUAGAAAAUGUUAUGAAUUUGAAAUGUGUUGUAUGCGAAACUUGGCAUCAAAUUGAUUGAAAAUGUAAUGUAUGAUGAUGAUUAAAGAAGAAUUGUGUACUUUGAAUUGGAUGAUGCAAAUUCGGUUAGUGAUUGAGCUUGGAUGAUAUUGGAUUCUUUCCAUUAAAAUUCACUAUGUCAAUUUCUGUUAUACACCUGCUGAAAUGUUGUCAUAUUGUAUGCAAUUGUUUGGUAUUGUUCAACUUGUUAUGUGACUGUUAAUGAGUUAUCCUGCUAUUAUGCCAUGCUAGAUGAUGAUUGGAUCAUGUAGGGAUUGAAUUACUGUCAUGGUUAGGCUAAACUAUUCAUGUAAGGUGUCAUAUUGGCUUAUGGUUAUGAGUAGUCAUGUGUUGUUUGACCAGGUAGUUAGUGCAUUGAUUGUUAUUAUGCAUUGUGCAUGUCACGUGUAUGGUAUGAGUUCUAAUUGUGUAUGUGUUUGAAUUGCAGGGCUGGUUUUAGAGGAAGACAAACAAACAUUUGGCAAGUCAUUUUGAGCAACAUCAAGACCUAUGAAGAAGGCCUUGAACACAUCAAGAUUUAUGCAGGAUUUGAGGGCUUUAGAGGGAUACUUGUAAAUGAAGAAAAAUGGAAUGUAAUUAGGGUUAAGACUUAGUGGUUAGGAAGUUGACUUUGGUCAACUAGUUGACCAAAAAGUUAACAGUUGAUCAAAGUCAACUAUAGGUCAACAAAUGCAUUUUUGUAGGUUUUGACUUUUGUAAAGAUUUGUGGUGUAUUUCUAAAUGGAUGUUGUAUGGUUUGUUUUGUAAUGAAGAUGACUUGAAUGAAUGUAACUUGUUUUCCAAGUAAUCCAAUCCCUUGAACACUUAAAUUUGAAUUGAGC